CAGAAUUCUCAGCUCCCUCACCGGCGGCGAUGGCAGUAGCGGUGACUCAGGAGGUUAAGCUCUUCAAUCGAUGGACCUUUGACGACGUUGAGAUUAGUGAUAUGUCGCUUAAUGACUACAUUGCUGUCAAUGUCACGAAGCAUGCUACCUACCUCCCUCAUACUGCCGGGCGAUACUCUGUCAAGAGGUUUCGCAAAGCCCAAUGCCCGAUUAUUGAGAGGCUGACCAAUUCUCUUAUGAUGCAUGGGCGCAACAACGGAAAGAAACUAAUGGCUGUUCGCAUAAUGAAACAUGCCAUGGAGAUUAUCCAUCUGCUUACUGAUGCCAACCCAAUCCAAAUUAUUGUGGAUGCUGUUAUCAACAGUGGGCCGCGCGAAGAUGCAACUAGAAUUGGGUCUGCUGGUGUUGUUCGACGUCAGGCUGUCGAUAUCUCCCCUCUGAGGAGAGUCAACCAAGCAAUUUACCUCCUCACCACAGGUGCUAGAGAAAGCGCAUUCAGAAACAUCAAGACAAUUGCUGAAUGCCUUGCUGAUGAGCUGAUCAAUGCUGCCAAAGGCUCUUCCAACAGUUAUGCGAUCAAGAAGAAGGAUGAGAUUGAACGUGUAGCCAAGGCCAAUCGUUGAACAACGGAAUGCAGGGUCUGGGUGCUUUAUGUUAUGCAUUACUUUGUUUUGUAGCUGCAACAGUUAUGGUGUUACUUCAAUUUCAGACUGUUGGUAUGUAAGUGAUGCCUGUUUGUUAUUUUGUAUUUGAAUUUUUGCUGAGUUAUUGCAAUUUAGUUGCU
rnacentral:misc_RNA from 1 species